GGGAAUUUUUGGACAAUGGGCGCAAGCCUGAUCCAGCCAUGCCGCGUGAGUGAAGAAGGCCUUCGGGUUGUAAAGCUCUUUCGGCCGGGAAGAAAUCGUGUUCUCUAACAUAGGACAUGGAUGACGGUACCGGACUAAGAAGCACCGGCUAACUACGUGCC
rnacentral:rRNA from 1 species